GACGAACGCUGGCGGCGUGCCUAAUACAUGCAAGUCGAGCGGAGUUCGUUGGAAAGCUUGCUUUCGAACGAACUUAGCGGCGGACGGGUGAGUAACACGUAGGCAACCUGCCUGUAAGACCGGGAUAACUCACGGAAACGUGUGCUAAUACCGGAUAAGCGGAGGUCUCGCAUGGGACCUUCGAGAAAGACGGAGCAAUCUGUCACUUACAGAUGGGCCUGCGGCGCAUUAGCUAGUUGGUGAGGUAACGGCUCACCAAGGCGACGAUGCGUAGCCGACCUGAGAGGGUGAUCGGCCACACUGGGACUGAGACACGGCCCAGACUCCUACGGGAGGCAGCAGUAGGGAAUCUUCCGCAAUGGACGAAAGUCUGACGGAGCAACGCCGCGUGAGUGAUGAAGGUUUUCGGAUCGUAAAGCUCUGUUGCCAGGGAAGAACGCCAUCUAGUUAACUGCUGGGUGG
rnacentral:rRNA from 1 species